UACGUAGGGACCAAGCGUUGUCCGGAUUCAUUGGGCGUAAAGAGCGCGUAGGCGGCCUUGUAAGUGGGGUGUGAAAUCCCCCGGCUCAACCGGGGAACUGCAUCCCAUACUGCAUGGCUUGAGGGCAGCAGAGGAAACGGGAAUCCCCGGUGUAGCGGUGAAAUGCGUAGAUAUCGGGAGGAACACCAGUGGCGAAGGCGCGUUUCUGGGCUGCAUCUGACGCUGAGGCGCGAAAGCUAGGGGAGCAAACAGG
rnacentral:rRNA from 1 species